rnacentral:hammerhead_ribozyme from 1 species
AGCCGAAACGGUGCGACUGCUGCACCGUCAGCGUCCGGAUGGCGACCGACGCUCUGACGAGGGCAAGCCAAAA